rnacentral:rRNA from 2 species
AACGAACGCUGGCGGCAGGCCUAACACAUGCAAGUCGAACGCUCCGCAAGGAGAGUGGCAGACGGGUGAGUAACACGUGGGAAUCUACCUAGUGGUACGGAAUAGCUCAGGGAAACUUGAGGUAAUACCGUAUAAGCCCUUACGGGGAAAGAUUUAUCGCCAUUAGAUGAGCCCGCGUCUGAUUAGCUAGUUGGUGAGGUAAUGGCUCACCAAGGCGACGAUCAGUAGCUGGUUUGAGAGAAUGACCAGCCACACUGGGACUGAGACACGGCCCAGACUCCUACGGGAGGCAGCAGUGGGGAAUCUUGGACAAUGGGCGCAAGCCUGAUCCAGCCAUGCCGCGUGAGUGACGAAGGCCUUAGGGUUGUAAAGCUCUUUUGGCGGGGACGAUAAUGACGGUACCCGCAGAAUAAGCCCCGGCUAACUUCGUG